GGGGAAUAUUGCGCAAUGGGGGAAACCCUGACGCAGCAAUACCGCGUGAGUGAAGAAGGUUUUCGGAUCGUAAAGCUCUGUUAUUGGGGAAGAAAAAAAGACGGUACCCAAGAAGAAAGUCCCGGCUAACUACGUGCCAGCAGCCGCGGUAAUACGUAGGGGACAAGCGUUGUCCGGAUUUACUGGGCGUAAAGGGCGUGUAGGCGGGACUGCAAGUCAGAUGUGAAACCCAUGGGCUCAACCCAUGGCCUGCAUUUGAAACUGUGGUUCUUGAGUGUCGGAGAGGUAAUCGGAAUUCCGUGUGUAGCGGUGAAAUGCGUAGAUAUACGGAGGAACACCAGUGGCGAAGGCGGAUUACUGGACGAUAACUGACGCUGAGGCGCGAAAGCGUGGGGAGCAAACA
rnacentral:rRNA from 2 species